UUUCCGUUGGUGAACCUGCGGAAGGAUCAUUAAUGAGUUGUCAUGGGGUUCGAUGCUGGCAGCCAGUUUUUGGAUGCAUGUGCUUGCCCUAACAAUCAUCUUCUUCCAAACACCUGUGCACAUUUUUGAGGGAGUCUUGAGAUGGUUGCCGCUCUUGGGUGAUUUUCUCACAUUCCCUUAAAUCAUUAUACGCUAUUAACAAUGUUGAACGUGCUCUGUGCCGCAAGGCCAUUAAUAUAAUACAACUUUUAACAACGGAUCUCUUGGCUCUC
rnacentral:misc_RNA from 1 species